rnacentral:rRNA from 1 species
UACGGAGGGUGCAAACGUUGUUCGGAAUUACUGGGCGUAAAGGGCGCGUAGGCGGCCGCCUAAGUCAGACGUGAAAUCCCUCGGCUCAACCGGGGAACUGCGUCUGAUACUGGGUGGCUUGAAUCCGGGAGAGGGAUGCGGAAUUCCAAGUGUAGCGGUGAAAUGCGUAGAUAUCUGGAGGAACACCGGUGGCGAAGGCGGCAUCCUGGACCGGCAUUGACGCUGAGGCGCGAAAGCCAGGGGAGCAAACGGG